AGGGGUUUGAUCCUGGCUCAGAAUGAACGUUGGCGGCGUGGAUUAGGCAUGCAAGUCGCAGCGAGAACUUGUUGAUUGAAGCUUCGGCCGAUUUCAGCGGGGGACAGCGGCGCAAGGGAGAGUAACGCGUGGAUACCUGCCCCUGGAUCCGGGAUAGCGUCGGGAAACCGGCAGUAAUACCGGAUAAUGUCUCCGGACUAAAGGUGAGAUUCCGUCUGGGGAUGGGUCCGCGUCCUAUUAGCUUGUUGGUGGGGUAAUGGCCUACCAAGGCAAAGAUGGGUAGCGGGUGUGAGAGCAUGGCCCGUCUCACUGGGACUGAGACACUGCCCAGACACCUACGGGUGGCUGCAGUCUGAGAAUCUUCGGCAAUGGACGAAAGUCUGACCGAGCGUACGCCGCGUGCGGGAUGAAGGCCUUCGGGUUUGUAAACC
rnacentral:rRNA from 1 species